rnacentral:rRNA from 1 species
UGGGGAAUUUUGGACAAUGGGCGAAAGCCUGAUCCAGCAAUGCCGCGUGUGUGAAGAAGGCCUUCGGGUUGUAAAGCACUUUUGUCCGGAAAGAAAUCCUUGGCUCUAAUACAGUCGGGGGAUGACGGUACCGGAAGAAUAAGCACCGGCUAACUACGUGCCAGCAGCCGCGGUAAUACGUAGGGUGCAAGCGUUAAUCGGAAUUACUGGGCGUAAAGCGUGCGCAGGCGGUUUGCUAAGACCGAUGUGAAAUCCCCGGGGCUCAACCUGGGAACUGCAUUGGUGACUGGCAGGCUAGAGUAUGGCAGAGGGGGGUAGAAUUCCACGUGUAGCAGUGAAAUGCGUAGAGAUGUGGAGGAAUACCGAUGGCGAAGGCAGCCCCCUGGGCCAAUACUGACGCUCAUGCACGAAAGCGUGGGGGAGCAAAACAGGAUUAGAUACCCCUGGUAGUCCACGCCCUAAACGAUGUCAACUAGUUGUUGGGGGAUUCAUUUCCUUAGUAACGUAGCUAACGCGUGAAGUUGACCGCCUGGGGAGUACGGUCGCAAGAUUAAAACUCAAAUGAAUUGNC